rnacentral:lncRNA from 1 species
AGAAGACAAUUUUGUUCACAGACUUCAAUGUUUAUUAGGGGCAUUACUGCAAGAUGAACCUGCUGAACUUGAAAUAUCAUGGUAUUCUUGAUGACUGAAAGGUACACUCCUUCGCGUCCAUAGUGUUAAAUCUGUGAGAUAGUUCAUGCCUCAUUUCUUUGGGUGGUACUUGUUAAUAUUUUGCUCACAAAUUUUUUUUUUGUUGCUAGCCUCUUCACAAACAGUGAUAUAUUUUCAAUUCAAAUGGCCAGAUAACCCACAGCAUUAAUUUUCAUAUGCUAUGCGUUGGAAUUACUAUUUCCAUGAUCAAUAGUCGACCCCAUGUUGGUAAACUUGUCAAUCUUUUCUUGACGAAAACAUUUUAUUAGUAGUUUUUUUCUGCUCCACUUAUUUUUCUGUAGACUAAUAAAGUUUCUUUAUACUGCUGUUUCAUUGUCUAAAAGGUAUGUGAAGAUGAUGAUAAACAACUGAAUGGUUCAUCGAAUCUGGAGCAAUGGGGAGAUGCUAUGCCUGUUUAUGACACUCUAGCUGAAAUUGUA